CGACACAUUUCAUAAAAGACCAUACGAUGAAAUGAUAAAUUCAAAAGAACAGACUUUAUAACGUGAACACCGUUUAAAAAGUACCGUUAAAUCAAGAGCUGUACAAAUGAUUUUUGUACUUGGCGUCAGGGGCGGCGUUAGGGGUGGGCUAAGGGGGCUGGAGCCCCGAAUGUUUUCAGCAAAGCCCCGAAUGUUUUUAUUACCACCAUGCCAUCAAUGAAUUUUCAUGCCCAAUAAAGUAAUUUAUAUUAGAAUUUAAAUAAAUAAAUAAAUAAAUAUCUCUCGACUCUCACGUCUACAGUGUCUGUCAAUUUACGCGUUGUCAUUCACACCCGACAAAAACCGCCCACUAAGUCUAGUGCUUCUGACUGACAUGUAAACUGGCCAACCAAAGUUAAAUAGGAUAUUCAUAACUUACUUACAAAAAAAAAAAAAUAUAAAGGAAGUAAAACACCCCCAACCAGCACUUGAACGCCAAGAUACAACAGCUUCAGGUAUCUGUAACUUUUAAUCAUAGUAUUAUAUUUCUUUUUCGGUUUUAAAUUGUGUCUGAUUUAACGUUACAUGUUGAACAUCUAACAGUUAACGGUUGCGCAGCACAGUCUAUAGGACACACACACAGAGCGGUUAUAAUGUUUGGUUAGCAAGGUCUGUGGCAGACUUUUCGUGUCAGGGCAACAAUAAACAAUAAACAAGAUAAUAAAAAAAGACAUAUAUCGCAAAGGAAAUGGUUCCAAACAAAGCAUGUUGUUGUGCUCUGCAGCAACACACAGCGGUGUUUACUGAAUAAAUUUGCGUGAGUAAAUGAUUCACUGACCCAUUCAUAAAAACAGUUGCUUACUUUUUUUUCAGAAUGAAUCAUCUGUUUCGAACGAAUCCAUUAAUUAAAUGACUGACCGACUCACUCAUUAAGGCAGUGGCUUACCGCCACCUAGUGGCAAAGUACCAUUCUAAUUUUUUUCAUAAUUUCAUAUUUUUUGUAUUCCAAGAUGCAUUUCAGUGGCUUGAGUAUUCCGUAUCCAGAAAUUCUGCAUUCUGCUUUUCUUGUCGUCUCUUUGGCAAGCAUCAUAUCCGAAACAGCAAAGACACAUUAACAAGUGCAAGUUUCUCCAACUGGAAAAGAGCUUUAGAAUCAUUCAUAGAGCAUGAACAAAGUAGCCUUCAUAAGGCUUCCAUGACAUGCUGGAAGAGCUACAAAACAGCUGAAACACAUGGAGAUAUGAAUGAUGCACAGACUUCAGUAGAGGGACGAGUGUAGCCAGUCAGGCUUGAUUGGAAAAGAAAAGAAAACUGAGAGACAGAGACAAAAAAAAAGCGAGAUAGAGACACAACAUCAGCAUAUGUGUCAGGAUACAAGGGAUAAACUUUAAAUAAAAUGUUUUAAAUUUGUUUUUGUAUAUUUUAAACAAGGUAAAUCUUUCUGAUUUAUUAAAAUAAAAAGUCACAUACAUGGAUUUUUCUGGGCUAAGCCCCGGAUCUCCACUCACCCUAGAACCGCCCCUGCGGUGCACUGUUUAAAUAGCACACUUUCUCAGUCUAAAUGACCAAAAACACGGUAUUAUCAUUGUAUUUGUCCAAAAAAAACAUGAAAAUACCGUGGUACUUUGAUGAAUUAUAUAGUAAUGCGUGUUUGGUAUAGUGCUACGCCGACGCGCAUUAAAGAAUACCGCGUUAUUACCCAAACACGUGAUGUUACCACGGUAUUGUUGCGUAAGAGUCUGGAAUAAGAAGAGUGUGUUGUGGUUGGUGUAAGGUCACCUGAGUGGAUCUCCUCGUCUCCAUCCAUCUGGACCGAGCACAGAACCGCACUGUUUCAGUUUCUCCCGAACACACACACACACUCACACACACCAAUAACAACAAUAACCCCGAACCGGCGCUGAGCGGACGUCGGAACGCGACUCUUCUGUGGAUCCGCGGGGGUCUUCUAUAUGUCCCGGUUUCUCCGCACGCACAUGAGCUAUUAUUAGUUUAUCUGCUGAUAUAUUGUUACUGACUGCUAGUAACUGUCCGUGUUUUCCUUUCCUCCUCUAAAAUGGUGUCGUCGCCACUCUGGGACGCAUGCGUGCGGACGCGCCGACGCUUUAAUAUUACGUCAGUAAAAACGUCGUCAUUUGAAUGGGCGGAGCUUCGCAAACAGACGGCGGGCAAGAACUCCAGUCUAG
rnacentral:lncRNA from 1 species